rnacentral:rRNA from 1 species
UACGUAGGGUGCGAGCGUUAAUCGGAAUUACUGGGCGUAAAGCGUGCGCAGGCGGCGCGUUAAGACAGGUGUGAAAGCCCCGAGCUUAACUUGGGAAUUGCGCUUGUGACUGGCGUGCUGGAGUGUGGCAGAGGGAGGUGGAAUUCCACGUGUAGCAGUGAAAUGCGUAGAGAUGUGGAGGAACACCGAUGGCGAAGGCAGCCAUCUGGACCGACACUGACGCUGAGGCGCGAAAGCGUGGGGAGCAAACAGG